GCCCCAUUAUAGCUCAAGUUGGUAGAACAUGAGACUCUUAAUCUCAGGGUCGUGAGUUCGAGCCCCAUGUUGAGCA
rnacentral:tRNA from 1 species